rnacentral:rRNA from 1 species
UAGGGAAUCUUCCACAAUGGACGCAAGUCUGAUGGAGCAACGCCGCGUGAGUGAAGAAGGCUUUCGGGUCGUAAAACUCUGUUAUUGAAGAAGAACGUGUGUGACAGUAACUGGUCAUGCAGUGACGGUAUUCAAUCAGAAAGUCACGGCUAACUACGUGCCAGCAGCCGCGGUAAUACGUAGGUGGCAAGCGUUGUCCGGAUUUAUUGGGCGUAAAGCGAGUGCAGGCGGUCUUUUAAGUCUGAUGUGAAAGCCUUCGGCUUAACCGAAGAAGGGCAUCGGAAACUGGGAGACUUGAGUGCAGAAGAGGAGAGUGGAACUCCAUGUGUAGCGGUGAAAUGCGUAGAUAUAUGGAAGAACACCAGUGGCGAAGGCGGCUCUCUGGUCUGUAACUGACGCUGAGGCUCGAAAGCGUGGGUAGCAAACAGGAUUAGAUACCCUGGUAGUCCACGCCGUAACGAUGAAUACUAAGUGUUGGAGGGUUUC